CAGAGGAGCCCCAGUUCUGCUAUGCCUUUCUCUACAACUUAGCUCCCUGUAAAGCAAAAAGCAAGAAGAUACCAGGGUGCUUUGGAAAUGGAGAACUUUAAGAGGAAUCACUGCUAGACGGUCUCACUCUCGCCAGCCUCCCUCUCUCCCAGCAGUCUUGCCCCCACCUCUUUGAGAUCCUCUGGCUCUGCGCAGGAUAAAUAGCGACUGUGAAAUCCUUACAAAGGAAGGAGAACUAAUGGGAUAUUGCUAUUUCUGGAGCUGCCCAUUAGAGAAGCUGUUCUGUGGUACGCAGUAUGCCAGUGCACUUCAAAAAAAUAAAUAGGAACAAGAAUUAUUAGCAGAGGAAGCAUAUGUGGCCCCAAGACCAUGACUCAUCGGGUUAAAUCGACCAGCUGAGAGAAGCAGAGGUAAGGAGAAACCGAGUGACUCACCGACCAUCCCACAGGGAGCCUGCAGCGUAACACGGUGCCAAGCCCAGUUCCCAUCCCACCCCGGCCGUCCCUCGUCCCGCCGCCGCGCAGGGAUGUCUUACUGGAAAAACUUGAUUUAGCCAAAACCUGGGACGCACACAGUGGGAAACAGAUAUAGCCUUCGGUCAGGAGACUGGACGGGAUUUACUAGCAGCCUCUCUUCAUCUUCAAAGUCACCUUCGUUAACAGCCACUUUACAAGCUUUUACAGCUUUAAGGAGAAACUCAGUUAUCUCAGUACAAGGUUUUUACGGUCUUCAGAAAGGUUGCUUCACCACACCUGUGACUCAAAGCAGACAACGUGUAAGACUGAAAGUGGUUUGUGAUUCCCAAAGAAAUCCCAAGAAACACCUACAUGCUUUUUAAUUACAUACCUAGGUAGGUACUUAAGUAAAUUAAAAAACAAUUACCACAAAUUGUGAUAUGAUUCAACACUUUAGGAGGAAACUGAGAUUGCAGCUGGGUUUGCUUUUUGACUCCU
rnacentral:lncRNA from 1 species